CCUACGGGAGGCUGCAGUGGGGAAUAUUGCACAAUGGGGGAAACCCUGAUGCAGCGACGCCGCGUGAGGGAAGAAGUAUCUCGGUACGUAAAGCUCUAUCGUCAGAGAAGAAAAUGACGGUAUCUAACGAAGAAGCCCCGGCUAACUACGUGCCAGCAGCCGCGGUAAUACGGAGGGGGCAAGCGUUAUCCGGAUUUACUGGGUGUAAAGGGCGCGUAGGCGGGAGCACAAGUCCGGAGUGAAAUCCCGGGGCUUAACCCCAGAACUGCGUUGGAAACUGUGAGGCUGGAGUGCAGGAGGGGUAAGCGGAAUUCUUAGUGUAGGGGUGAAAUGCGUAGAUAUUAGGAGGAACACUGGUGGCGAAGGCGGCCUACUGGACUGUAACUGACGUUGAGGCGCGAAAGCGUGGGGAGCAAACAGGAUUAGAUACCCUAGUAGUC
rnacentral:rRNA from 1 species